rnacentral:rRNA from 1 species
GAUGAACGCUGGCGGCGUGCUUAACACAUGCAAGUCGAACGAUGAAGCCCAGCUUGCUGGGUGGAUUAGUGGCGAACGGGUGAGUAACACGUGAGUAACCUGCCCUUUACUCUGGGAUAAGCCUGGGAAACUGGGUCUAAUACCGGAUAGGAGCGCCUACCGCAUGGUGGGUGUUGGAAAGCUUUAUCGGUUUUGGAUGGACUCGCGGCCUAUCAGCUUGUUGGUGAGGUAAUGGCUGACCAAGGCGACGACGGGUAGCCGGCCUGAGAGGGUGACCGGCCACACUGGGACUGAGACACGGCCCAGACUCCUACGGGAGGCAGCAGUGGGGAAUAUUGCACAAUGGGCGAAAGCCUGAUGCAGCGACGCCGCGUGAGGGAUGACGGCCUUCGGGUUGUAAACCUCUUUCGGUAGGGAAGAAGCGAAAGUGACGGUACCUGCAGAAGAAGCACCGGCUAACUACGUG